rnacentral:rRNA from 1 species
GACGAACGCUGGCGGCGUGCUUAACACAUGCAAGUCGUACGGUAAGGCCCUUUCGGUGGUACACGAGUGGCGAACGGGUGAGUAACACGUGAGUAACCUGCCCACAACUUUGGGAUAACGCUAGGAAACUGGUGCUAAUACUGGAUAUGUGCUCCUGCUGCAUGGUGGGGGUUGGAAAGCUCCGGCGGUUGUGGAUGGACUCGCGGCCUAUCAGCUUGUUGGUGGGGUAGUGGCCUACCAAGGCGGCGACGGGUAGCCGGCCUGAGGGGGUGACCGGCCACAUUGGGACUGAGAGAAGGCCCAGGCUCCGACGGGAGGCAGCAGUGGGGAAGAUUGCACAAGGGGCGCAAGCCGGAUGCAGCAACGCCGCGUGCGGGAUGACGGCCUUCGGGUUGUAAACCGCUUUCAGCAGGGACGAAGCUUUUUGUGACGGUACCUGCAGAAGAAGCACCGGCUAACUACGUG